AAAACCCUGGUUUGGAUUAAGGACCCACUGGAUCUGCAUCUUCCAAACUUGGGAGAGGAGAGCCUGUGGGCCAGAAAUCCCACCAGCACUGCACCAUGCC
ensembl:miRNA gga-mir-6570 gga-mir-6570